AUGCAUAAUUGGUUUUUGCCGUUCUAUAGAGAUGUUGAGCGACGUUGUAGAAGACACUGUUCUUGAGCAUGGUGGAGAGAUUGUUUCUGCGGAGAAAGCCAGCAAAGGCGAUAUGCAGGAAAAGCUAACUAUGACAGUUGCAGUACCACUACUAUGGGGGGUUCCUCCUGCAUCCGAAAGGAUCCACCUUGCAGUUCGAAAUGGUGGAGGCAUUGUAGAUAAAGU
rnacentral:misc_RNA from 1 species